AGAGUUUGAUCCUGGCUCAGGAUGAACGCUAGCGACAGGCCUAACACAUGCAAGUCGAGGGGCAUCGGGACGUAGCAAUACGUUGCCGGCGACCGGCGGAUGGGUGAGUAACGCGUAUGCAACCUACCCGUAGCAGGGGGAUAGCCCGUUGAAAGACGGAUUAAUACCCCGUAACACAGGGGCUCCGCAUGGAGAUUAUUGUUAAAGGGUCAUUUCUUUUAGAGGUGGUCCGGCUGCGGAUGGGCAUGCGUUCCAUUAGGUAGUUGGUGUAGGUAACGGCUCACCAAGCCGACGAUGGAUAGGGGAACUGAGGGGUUGGUCCCCCACACUGGUACUGAGACACGGACCAGACUCCUACGGGAGGCAGCAGUGAGGAAUCUUGGUCAAUGGACGCAAGUCUGAACCAGCCAUGUCGCGUGAAGGAGGACGGCCCUAAGGGUUGUAAGCUUCUUUUGCAGUGGAAUAAAGUUUGCCACGUGUUGGCGAUUUGCAAGUACGCUGCGAAUAAGGAUCGGCUAACUCCGUGCCAGCAGCCGCGGUAAUACGGAGGAUCCGGGCGUUAUCCGGAUUUAUUGGGUUUAAAGGGUGCGCAGGCGGGGAAUUAGGUCGGCGGUGAAAUUUCGGGGCUCAACCUCGACAGUGCCGUUGAAACCGUUUCUCUUGAGUGCGGAUGAGGUAGGCGGAAUUUGUGGUGUAGCGGUGAAAUGCGUAGAUAUCACAAGGAACACCGAUUGCGGAGGCAGCUUACUAAACCGUUACUGACGCUCAUGCACGAAGGCGUGGGGAUCAAACAGGAUUAGAUACCCUGGUAGUCCACGCAGUAAACGAUGAUUACUUGCUGUUUGCGAUACACAGUAAGCGGCGAAGCGAAAGCGUUAAGUAAUCCACCUGGGGAGUACGUUCGCAAGAAUGAAACUCAAAUGAAUUGACGG
rnacentral:rRNA from 1 species